AGCGAACGCUGGCGGCGUGCCUAACACAUGCCAGUCGAACGUGAAAAGGGAAACCUGAGUAAAGUGGCGUACGGGUGAGUAACGCGUAGGUAAUCUACCCCAGAAUCUGGAAUAACCUGCCGAAAGGCGGGCUAAUACUGGAUAGAGCGAGGGAACUCGUAAGAGAGUUUUUCGGGAAAGGGAGCCCGCAAGGGCCUUCGUUCUGGGAUGGGCCUGCGUCUCAUUAGCUAGUUGGUAAGGUAACGGCUUACCAAGGCGAUGAUGAGUAGCUGGUCUGAGAGGAUGAUCAGCCCACCUGGAACUGAAACAAGGUCCAGACUCCUACGGGAGGCAGCAGUGGGGAAUCUUGCGCAAUGGACGAAAGUCUGACGCAGCCACGCCGCGUGAGUGAAGAAGGCCUUCGGGUUGUAAAGCUCUGUCGGAUGGGACGAACAUCUUCAUAGUGAAUAGCUAUGAGGACUGACGGUACCAUCAAAGGAAGCACCGGCUAACUCCGUG
rnacentral:rRNA from 1 species